rnacentral:lncRNA from 1 species
UGUUAUGAUAUUGUAAUUAUUAUGUUUAUUUAUGUUGGCCUAAUUUGUGUUGUGUGGCCUGAUAGUUGUUUACCAAAUAAUCUUAUAACUGUGCAGUUUAGGAAUCACUGGAACAAUCACAGAAUGAUUGGAACUUUCUAGAAUGAUCCUUAUAAAAGAUGCGUAAUUUAAACUUCUACGUUAUUCCAGAAACUUCCGUUGUAACUUUCCAGGAUUUUCCACAAUGUUCCAUUAUAGAGUGUUCCAGAAUUUUCCAUGACAACAC